rnacentral:misc_RNA from 1 species
UGGAGGAGGAGGCAAGCUGGGUUCUGAUGAAAGGCUACGAAUCAUGCCUGCCCCAGAAGAUAGCUAGCAAGUUAGAAUAUCCUCUCCUGGCUUAAUGAUAUGCCAUAGAAUUUAACAGCUUUGCGAACAGUAAUGACCUGCAGUCCAUGCUAUCUGAAGAGAAUCUGGAGUAGUCAAUCAAGGUGUUCCGACAAAGUGCAUCCAAAUCACGCCCG